AUGUACAUAAGAAGCAGAGGUUCCAAGGUAUGAAAAGGUGGAAAGUCUAGGAGUGUUGUCUUAUCAUGCACUGUAUAGAUAUCUACACGCAGAAACAGCAACAUAUUUUGCAAUCGCACUAGUGGAUUGCCCCGUUUCUUGAGGCUAUGUAUUUCGAUAUUUGAGCUCUCCCCGAGCAAAGCUUCUUUGCUCGGGGCCGGAGGUAUAUAUUAGAUAAUUAAUGGGACUUCAUAUAUAGCGACCAAUUGCAGUGCCUUCCACUGAAGAGUCGAGCAAGCUAACAAAGUCAACAGACAAAUAAACAAAGAGGGCUAUAUAAAUCUAUUUAUCUUCACUAUCGGACAACGUUUGCCCUCCUGUUUAGGAUCUCUUCCGCCUCCCCGUGGCGCUCUCCUUGGCCACGGUACUCGCGUCGUCCACGCAGAAACCAGUCAGCAAUGAUGAUGACGACGACGACAAAAUAGACUGCGGAAACGUAGUUCAUGUCUAGAGUCGAUAAUACAUUAGCUAGCGAGUCCUAUGGUGCUAUUGGAGAAUGGAAAGAUGGCUUCGCGCCGGUAAGGGGCUAGCGUGCGGUUAAAAUACUUACUGGACGUCUUGACGGGGUAAACUGAGGGGAACGAAUACAUAAUAACGGUGAAAACCGUCCAACAAAGAACCAUAAUGUUCGCAAAGAGGCCGAAUUUCCCCAGCCAGAACGGACCGCGCUUGAUGUUAUUCCGCCCGCGGAUGAGCAACGCAGUAAUCGGGAUCGCGUACGAGAUGUACAGCAGGACAAUGCACGCAGUCACCAUGCUGUUAAAGGCGGUGGAGGAGCCGAGAUACAGCAGCCCCAAUGCGCCGACGAUGAAACAACUGAACGCAUGCGCCGCGAUGGGCACGUCGAGCUUGGGGUGGAUUUUGGACAGGUACUUGUGGAACGGGAGGCCGCGAUCGCGCGCAAAGGACCAGCACAGCCGCGACUGCCACGUGUGGGAGGCAAUCUGGCAUCCAAAGCCAGUGCAGAGAACCAGGGAUUCCAAGGCGAUGGCACCGGCCUUGCUGCCCAGGGCUUGGUUGAAGAGCUCGAGAAUGGGCACGCCGGUCGGCGUGCUGAUGAGGGUUUCGAAAUUGCUCAAGCUGAAGAACAUGGCCAUGCAGUAGAACCAGGCUGUGGUAAAGCCGAUAGCGACGGUGCCGCAGAUGGCGAUGGGGAUGGAUCGCUCGGGACUAGCGACCUCCUCUGCCAUGUGGGUGGCGGAGUCGAGACAAGCGAAGACCCAGUUGGGGUUGAUCAAGCCGACAAUGAAGGCGAUGCCGUCGGAUUUCCAGCCCGUGUUGUUGAUGAAGGUCGCAAAGACGAAUUUGGCAUCCUGGUGCGUGGGCGCUUUGGACGGGACGGUGAUGAGGAUUACCGUGAAGGAUAUGAGGGAGAGAUAGAGUGUUGUCAUUGCGACUUUAGGGAGUAACCUGCCCACGCAGUUAAAGAGGAAGCACCAGGUGUUGAUGACUUGGUAGGCGACGACGAUGUGCCAGGCUUCGACGACGCUGAAUCAUCUUUAGUUAGCUUUGGUUCAAGUGAGGUAACGUAGGCAUCAGUACAGCAAUGUCUAUUACCAAACAUUAUCCCAGGAAUUUGUUCAGGGUGGGAUAUUCUUACAAGUCAGGAUGUCCAAGCUGCCACAUUCCAACGCCUGCAGCGGCCAAUCCGAGCGCAACACUAGCAGAGGUGAAGAUACUCCCUGUCCACGCGAACCAACCGGUCAGGUAGGACGCGAAGUUCGCAUAUCUGGGGGAUGCUAGCUCGUUUGCCCAGAAGUACUGGCCUCCCGCAUUGGGCAUAGAACUCGCCAGCUCAGAGAGUGUGAUCGCCACACAACUGGAAAUGAACGCAAUCCACGGGAUGCCGUACAUGACCAACAGCGGCCCGCCAGACGGAAUGCCUGUGACCAGGGAGGCAGACAUGCCGAACCACGAGUUGGUCAGUGAGAAGCCUACUCCGAGCAACGACAGCAACGAGAACUUGCGUUUCAUGUCCUGGCUGUAGCCCAUGGCCGCGAGAUUCAUGGCAUCUUCGUCAAGGGAGCUCUUGGAGCCGGGAUCGCUGGUCGGAGACAUCACCACGUUAUCGAUUUUGUCCAUUUCUUGAGACAUGGUUGCUGAUUUAUAGUUUAGUUCUUCUGUUAAUAGGAAAUUCACAGAGAUUUUGGAAAUAAGAUUUUUCCCCCUCUUGUUGGUUUGUUUUUGUCAGAUUUUUGAUUGGUUUAAGCAAUGAGAUGUAGCAAAUACAGGGCGUCGGUGGGCAAUAUAUACUUUGUCGCUUAGGAAGGAAUGAAUGAUACGAUAUCACGAUAUCCUUUGCUGCAUUGGGCUUGAGUACUGGCUCGACUGGUUUCUAAGUGAAAGUACUUUGACCAGGGAGCGGCGCGUUGGAGGUGGGAAUAUCGUGAGCUUUGUCGCCUGUGGGCGUGAUAAACGGUCACUUCAAAUUUAGAUGAGCACAAGACAACCCCGUGUCACCACGUAUUUGAUAUUCUUUUUGCUGCAAAUGACUUUUC
rnacentral:sRNA from 1 species